GUCAGCAUAAGGUUGUGUGUUUCCCUUCACCUAUGCAGCAUCUGCUCUGCUCAGUCAUACAAAGCCCAGAUGGCACUGAGAUUCAACUCUGCAAAUAAAACUGGUAACCCUUGCUGGAGCGAAAUCUGUUUACAGCUGUCAAGGGCUCCCUGCUUCCUACCUUUGGAGGAAAAUAGCUUUGAUGAAUACUUCAAGCACUUUGUAACACUGGAAGGAACAAAAACAGGAUAGAGAAGCUGAUUGUGCAGAAAUAAAAGCCAGGCUACCUCUGAAGGAGCACAGAAGAUGUACAACUACUCCUGCUAUAUUGUAUAUCUGUUACCAGUUCCUGAUGGAAAGGCACGGUGCUAUCUGGUUUUGGUCAUGAUUCAUCGCUGUAGCAGGUCCGCAGCUGAAGAGGGGGAGGAAAGGAACUUUUUUUCACUCAGGGGAACAAAGAGCCGGAGCUGGAAAGCCAGUGAUGAUUUGUCAGACUCGCAGGAUGAAAGUAACGAACAGGGAUAUGCAGCUCCAUCAGAACAAACAGUUGUAAGAAAUCCCAAGAAUCUAAAACUCCAGAUUUGUGCUCUGCAUCACAUAAAAGGCACCAGACCCUAUAAAUGCAGCGACUGUGAAAUGGCAUUUGUGUCCAGUGGUGAGCUUUCGCAACACAAGCCUUACAAGCAUGUUUUAGAAAAACCUUCCAAGUGUUUAGCGUGUGGAUGUUCUAGUGUAGAGGAGAGUGCCCUUAUUCUGACCUUUGCAGCUAUGCUGGCGAAGGUCCAUGUAAACUGAAAAGGCACAUGAUAACUCAUACAGAUCUUCUUGCUAAUUACUGAGUCUGGAUUAGAUUCAGUUUGUUACUGGUUUUAUCCCUGCCCCAUCCACAUAACAACAUUUCCAGCUAAUGGGAGGAAUGCAGCGGAGGAGUGACAUUGCUGUUUGCCUUGAUAAGAAAAGAGCUUUGCUUUUUAUUCCCAGCCAAUCAAAUGACAGGUAGCAGCUUGUGGUGAUUAUAAUUCAGCUUUAGAACUGCCAUCCUUUUCCUGGAAACUGUAUGCUGAGAACUAAGCCCAUCCUCCCUGUAAGGCAAAAGUUAUUUUUCAUUGUUCAGUUAUAGUAACGCAUCAGCUGCUUCACUGUGAAGUUAAAGUUAUAAAACUGUUCAUAGUAGUUCUUUUCCUAUACUGUUUUAAAUGUUCUGCUCUUUGAUCCAAGUUAUUUAUCCCUUCAUCAUUUAGCAUUACUGACUAUGAAUUGAUAUCACUUUAUUUUAAAUGGGCUGUAUUCUCCAGGCCAUGCCUUCCAACAAAACUUUUGCAGAAGAUUUACUUCAAUAACAAUUGCGUGUUAAUAAAUGUCAUAAUAGUGUUAAUGUAAGACUGUGCUCCAUCUUUGUGUAAGUGUGUAGUAAAUCCCUUUAGUGCAGUGAAUUUGUUCUCGUUAAGUGGGACCUGAGACAGUAGUCUCUUCAGUUUGGGGCUAAUUUCCAAAAAUCGGUGCAUAACCAACAAAUCUCAUUGAAGACGGAGGUCUUUGGCACCUUUGCAGUGCAUCUAUAAUUCACACACAGAAAGAUUUAUUUUUUUCUGCUUCUCUUGAAAUUCCUCAGAGAAAUGCAGAAGUGUGCAAAGGUGCCUGCUGGCUUCAUCUUGACAGAAGAACAGUGUAGGAGUGAACUGCUGUUCACGCUGGGGCUUGUCGCUCCGUCUGGCAGAUGCAGGCUAGCUACAGGAGGUCAUAUGUAUGGGCAGCCAGGCUGUCCUAAUAGUGGGGUUUUCUCUU